rnacentral:rRNA from 1 species
CAAGGUUUCCAGGAGAAGGUUCGUCCGCCCUGGGUUAGUCAGGACCUAAGCCGAGGCCGAAAGGCGUAGGUGAUGGACAACAGGUUGAUAUUCCUGUACCACCAAUAACCGUUUGAGAAAUGGGAUGACACAGUAGGAUAAGCUAACCGCACUGUUGGUUAUGUGGGCAAGUAUUGAGGCAGUUCCGAUAGGCAAAUCCGUCGGAAUAAUGCUGGCGUACGAUGCGGAGCGAAAUUAAGUAGCGAAGUAGCUGAUUUCACACUGUCGAGAAAAGUCUCUAUCGAGGUUAAAAGUGCCUGUACCGCAAACCGACACAGGUGGGUGAGGAGAGUAUCCUAAGGCCAGCGAGAGAACUGUUGUUAAGGAACUCGGCAAAAUGACCCCGUAACUUAGGGAGAAGGGGUGCCUUCGAAAGAAGGCCGCAGAGAAUAGGCCCAAGCGACUGUUUUACCAAAAACAUAGGUUUCUGCUAAGUCGCAAGACGAUGUAUAGGAGCUGACGCCUGCCCGGUGCUGGAAGGUUAAGGGGAUCUGUUAGAGCAAUCGAAGCAGUGAACUUAAGCCCCAGUAAACGGCGGCCGUAACAAUAACGGUCCUAAGGUAGCGAAAUUCAUUGUCGGGUAAGUUCCGACCCGCACGAAAGGCGUAACGAUUUGGGCACUGUCUCAACAACAGACUCGGUGAAAUUGUAAUACCGGUGAAGAUGCCGGUUACCUGCGACAGGACGGAAAGACCCCAUGGAGCUUUACUGUAGCUUGACAUUGAGUCUCGGUGCUACAUGUACAGGAUAGGUGGGAGACUAUGAAGCAUGGACGUCAGUCUGUGCGGAGUCAUCCUUGGGAUACCACCCUUGUAGUACUGGGAUUCUAACCAGAGGCCAUGAAUCUGGUCUUGGGACACUGUCAGGUGGACAGUUUGACUGGGGCGGUCGCCUCCCAAAAAGUAACGGAGGCGCUCAAAGGUUCUCUCAGUACGGUCGGAAAUCGUACGAAGAGUGUAAAGGCAAAAGAGAGCUUGAUUGCAAGACAUACAGGUCGAGCAAGGACGAAAGUCGGACUUAGUGAUCCGGUGGUUCCGCAUGGAAGGGCCAUCGCUCAACGGAUAAAAGCUACCCUGGGGAUAACAGGCUGAUCUCCCCCAAGAGUCCACAUCGACGGGGAGGUUUGGCACCUCGAUGUCGGCUCAUCACAUCCUGGGGCUGUAGUAGGUCCCAAGGGUUGGGCUGUUCGCCCAUUAAAGUGGUACGCGAGCUGGGUUCAGAACGUCGUGAGACAGUUCGGUCCCUAUCCGUCGCAGGCGUAGGAAAUUUGAGGAGACCUGUCCUUAGUACGAGAGGACCGGGAUGGACGUACCGCUGGUGUACCAGUUGUUCUGCCAAGGGCAUGGCUGGGUAGCUAAGUACGGAAAGGAUAAGCGCUGAAAGCAUCUAAGCGCGAAGCCCACUUCAAGAUAAGAUUUCCCACCGCAAGGUUAAGAUCCCUGGAAGACUACCUGGUUGAUAGGUCAGAGGUGUAAGUGUAGUAAUAUAUUUAGCUUACCGAUACUAAUAGAUCGAGGACUUGACC